GACGUAGGAUGCAAGCGUUAUCCGGAAUUAUUGGGCGUAAAGGGCGUGUAGGCGGCUUCGCAGGUCUGUGGUGAAAGCAUACAGCUCAACUGUAUUGAGCCACGGAAACGGCGGAGCUUGAGGCUGGGAGGGGCUGGUGGAAUUCCCUGUGUAGCGGUGAAAUGCGUAGAUAUCUGGAGGAACACCGGUGGCGAAGGCGGCAUCCUGGACCAAUACUGACGCUGAGGAGCGAAAGCCAGGGGAGCAAACGGG
rnacentral:rRNA from 1 species